rnacentral:rRNA from 1 species
CCUACGGGAGGCAGCAGUGAGGAAUAUUGGUCAAUGGCCGGAAGGCUGAACCAGCCAAGUCGCGUGAGGGACGACUGCCCUAUGGGUUUUAAACCUCUUUUAUAAGGGAAGAAUAAAUGCUACGUGUAGCAUGAUGCCUGUACCUUAUGAAUAAGCAUCGGCUAACUCCGUGCCAGCCGCCGCGGUAAUACGGAGGAUGCGAGGGUUAUCCGGAUUUCUUGGGUUUAAAGGGUGCGUAGGCGGGUUUUUAAGUUAGUGGUUAAACCUCGGGGCUUCACCUUGAUUUGCCAUUAAUACUGUAAGACUCGAGUUCAGACGAGGUAGGCGGAAUGAGUAAAGUAGCGGUGAAAUGCUUAGAUAUAACUUAGAACUCCGAUAGCGAAGGCAGCUUACCAGACUGCGACUGACGCUGAAGCACGAGAGCGUGGGUAGCGAACAGGAUUAGAUACCCGAGUAGUC